AUACGGAGGGGGCUAGCGUUGUCCGGAAUUAUUGGGCGUAAAGGGUCCGUAGGCGGUUCGGUAAGUCUCCUGUGAAAUCUUCAGGCUCAACUUGAAGAGGUCGGGGGAUACUGCUGAACUUGAGACAGACAGAGGCAAGUGGAAUUCCCGGUGUAGUGGUGAAAUGCGUAGAUAUCGGGAGGAACACCAGUGGCGAAAGCGGCUUGCUGGGUCUGUUCUGACACUGAGGGACGAAAGCGUGGGUAGCAAACCGGAUUAGAAACCCGAGUAGUCC
rnacentral:rRNA from 1 species